rnacentral:rRNA from 1 species
GAUGAACGCUAGCGGCAGGCUUAAUACAUGCAAGUCAAGGGGGUAGCAAUACAACCGGCGCACGGGUGAGUAACGCGUACACAACAUACCAUAUACUGGAGUAUAGCUUUGGGAAACUGAAGGUAAUCCUCCAUAACAUUGCGAGAGGGCAUCUGAUUGCAAUUAAAGUUUCGGCGGUAUAUGAUUGGUGUGCGUUUGAUUAGCUAGUUGGUAGGGUAACGGCCUACCAAGGCGACGAUCAAUAGCUGGCGUGAGAGCGCGACCAGCCACACUGGAACUGAGACACGGUCCAGACUCCUACGGGAGGCAGCAGUAGGGAAUAUUGGACAAUGGAGGAAACUCUGAUCCAGCCAUGCCGCGUGAUAGAUGAAGGCCCUCUGGGUUGUAAAUAUCUUUUAUCUGGGAAGAACACUCCUAUUCUUAGGAACUUGACGGUACCAGAGAAUAAGCACCGGCUAACGUCCGUGCCAGCAG